rnacentral:rRNA from 1 species
AACGAACGCUGGCGGCAGGCCUAACACAUGCAAGUCGAACGCUCUAGCAAUAGAGAGUGGCAGACGGGUGAGUAACGCGUGGGAACCUUCCCAAUGGUGCGGAAUAGCCCAGGGAAACUUGGGGUAAUACCGCAUAAGCCCUUAGGGGGAAAGAUUUAUCGCCAUUGGAUGGGCCCGCGUCGGAUUAGCUAGUUGGUGAGGUAAUGGCUCACCAAGGCAACGAUCCGUAGCUGGUUUGAGAGAAUGACCAGCCACACUGGGACUGAGACACGGCCCAGACUCCUACGGGAGGCAGUAGUGGGGAAUCUUGGACAAUGGGCGCAAGCCUGAUCCAGCCAUGCCGCGUGAGUGACGAAGGCCUUAGGGUUGUAAAGCUCUUUUGCCGGGGACGAUAAUGACGGUACCCGGAGAAUAAGUCCCGGCUAACUUCGUGCCAGCAGCCGCCGUAA